rnacentral:rRNA from 1 species
UACGAGGGGGGCAAAUGUUGUUCGGAAUCACUGGGCGUAAAGGGAGCGUAGGCGGGUUUCUAAGUCAGGUGUUUAAUCCCGGGGCCCAACCCCGGACAGGCACUUGAAACUGGGAAUCUUGAAUAGUGGAGAGGUCAGUGGAAUUGGGGGUGUAGCGGUGGAAUGCGUAGAGAUCCCCAAGAACACCAGAGGCGAAGGCGGCUACCUGGACAAUUGCUGACACUCAGGCACGAAAGCGUGGGGAGCAAAAGGG